rnacentral:rRNA from 1 species
UACGUAGGGGGCUAGCGUUGUCCGGAAUCAUUGGGCGUAAAGCGCGUGUAGGCGGUCCGGUAAGUCCGCUGUGAAAGUCGGGGGCUCAACCCUCGAAUGCCGGUGGAUACUGUCGGGCUAGAGUGCGGAAGAGGCGAGUGGAAUUCCUGGUGUAGCGGUGAAAUGCGUGAGAUAUCGAGAGGAACACCUGCGGCGAAGGCGGGUUGCUGGGCUGAUACUGACGCUGAGGCGCGAAAGCCCAGGGGAGCGAACGGG